CACGUAGGGGGCAAGCGUUGUCCGGAUUUAUUGGGCGUAAAGAGCUCGUAGGCGGCUCAGUAAGUCAGGUGUGAAACCUCCAGGCUCAACCUGGAGACGCCACCUGAUACUGCUGUGGCUAGAGUCCGGUAGGGGAGCGUGGAAUUCCUGGUGUAGCGGUGAAAUGCGCAGAUAUCAGGAGGAACACCAGCGGCGAAGGCGGCGCUCUGGGCCGGAACUGACGCUGAGGCGCGAAAGCCAGGGGAGCAAACGGG
rnacentral:rRNA from 1 species